GCGUAAUAGCUCACUGGUCGAGUCGGCCUGCGCGGAAGAUGUAACGGGGCUAAACCAUGCACCGAAGCUGCGGCAGCGACACUAUGUGUUGUUGGGUAGGGGAGCGUUCUGUAAGCCUGCGAAGGUGACCUGUGAGGGUUGCUGGAGGUAUCAGAAGUGCGAAUGCUGACAUAAGUAACGAUAAAGCGGGUGAAAAGCCCGCUCGCCGGAAGACCAAGGGUUCCUGUCCAACGUUAAUCGGGGCAGGGUGAGUCGACCCCUAAGGCGAGGCCGAAAGGCGUAGUCGAUGGGAAACAGGUUAAUAUUCCUGUACUUGGUGUUACUGCGAAGGGGGGACGGAGAAGGCUAUGUUAGCCGGGCGACGGUUGUCCCGGUUUAAGCAUGUAGGCUGGUUAUCCAGGCAAAUCCGGAUAAUCAAGGCUGAGGUGUGAUGACGAGGCACUACGGUGCUGAAGUAACAAAUGCCCUGCUUCCAGGAAAAGCCUCUAAGCAUCAGGUAACAUCAAAUCGUACCCCAAACCGACACAGGUGGUCAGGUAGAGAAUACCAAGGCGCUUGAGAGAACUCGGGUGAAGGAACUAGGCAAAAUGGUGCCGUAACUUCGGGAGAAGGCACGCUGGUGUGUAGGUGAAGUCCCUGCGGAUGGAGCUGAGACCAGUCGAAGAUACCAGCUGGCUGCAACUGUUUAUUAAAAACACAGCACUGUGCAAACACGAAAGUGGACGUAUACGGUGUGACGCCUGCCCGGUGCCGGAAGGUUAAUUGAUGGG
rnacentral:rRNA from 1 species